GACGAACGCUGGCGGCGUGCUUAACACAUGCAAGUCGAACGGAAAGGCCCUGCUUUUGUGGGGUGCUCGAGUGGCGAACGGGUGAGUAACACGUGAGUAACCUGCCCUUGACUUUGGGAUAACUUCAGGAAACUGGGGCUAAUACCGGAUAGGAGCUCCUGCGGCAUGGUGGGGGUUGGAAAGUUUCGGCGGUUGGGGAUGGACUCGCGGCUUAUCAGCUUGUUGGUGGGGUAGUGGCUUACCAAGGCUUUGACGGGUAGCCGGCCUGCGAGGGUGACCGGCCACAUUGGGACUGAGAUACGGCCCAGACUCCUACGGGAGGCAGCAGUGGGGAAUAUUGCACAAUGGGCGGAAGCCUGAUGCAGCAACGCCGCGUGCGGGAUGACGGCCUUCGGGUUGUAAACCGCUUUCGCCUGUGACGAAGCGUGAGUGACGGUAAUGGGUAAAGAAGCACCGGCUAACUACGUG
rnacentral:rRNA from 1 species